CCUACGGGAGACAGCAGUCGAGAAUCAUUCACAAUGGGGGAAACCCUGAUGGUGCGACGCCGCGUGGGGGAAUGAAGGUCUUCGGAUUGUAAACCCCUGUCAUGUGGGAGCAAAUUAAAAAGAUAGUACCACAAGAGGAAGAGACGGCUAACUCUGUGCCAGCAGCCGCGGUAAUACGGAGGUCUCAAUCGUUGGUCGGAAUCAUUGGUCGUAAAGCGUGCGAAGGCUGUUUCGUAAGUCGUGUGUGAAAGGCGCCGGCUCAACCUGCGGACUGCAAAUGAUACUGCGAGACUAGAGUAAUGGAGGGGGAACCGAAAUGCUCGGUGUAGCAGUGACAUGCGUAGAUAUCGAGAGGAACACUCGUGGCGAAGGCGGGUUCCUGGACAGUAACUGACGCUGAGGCACGAAGGCCAGGGUAUCGAAAGGGAUUAGAUACCCGAGUAGUC
rnacentral:rRNA from 1 species